rnacentral:lncRNA from 1 species
CCAAUUGAAAUGGCUUCAAAAUCCUACCAAACAACACUACGUGAUCAAUCACAAUCUAGGCUACACCAUCACAUCCUAAUUGAAAUGACUUCAGAAUCUCACUAAACAACACCACAUGAUCAAUCAAAACCUAAGGGUAUCCCCAUCGUGAUCUCAACAAAUUCUCAAAAUUUUUAACCUUUACUGAUGCUCAAAUUACAAAAUAAGACAAUUUACCUAACCACAUUACAAAUAUCAAAUUCAUAACAAACAACAAAACAACAUAAAGGACUAGAGGAAACAGAAACCGCACUUGGACUCAAUGGACAAGCCCGACGUUAAUCGAGUCGAAGCUAUCGCACUGGGCAACGGCAUCAUCGAUUCCAAACAGCUCAGUUCCACCGGUAACCUAACCCCCAGCAAACACACACAAACACAUCUUCCGGUAUAAACACCUACACACACACACACACACACACAUAUAUAUAUAUAGAUAGAUAGAUAGAUAGAUAGAUAUAGAGAGAGAUUUGGGCGUUCUGACCUUGAGGAGCGAGAAAUGCGUUGAGCGGAGGCAGUGGCCGGAGACUGACGUACCGCUUUGAGCAGUGGGACGUCGAAUGAGAGAGAGCUUUUGGUGAAUUUGCGGGCCAGAGGUCGAAGGCGAGAAGAUAACCUAGCUUCUACUGUGGAAGAUGCCAUUGAGGUCUUCUUUGGUCGCG